GCUGGAUCCCCUCCUUUCUAGGGAUUAUCCCGAGGUUAAACGGUGCAUCUGUGUGAUGUGCUGAUUUCUCUACACUUGUAGUAUUUUUGAGCUAGCUACCUGGUGCGGUUUCUGUCACUUUUUAGUUGUUGGAGUUCGGCUGUCGGUUUAUUGCCAAGCCGCUUGGGCCUGUAGCUCAGUUGGUUAGAGCGUCCGGCUGAUAACCGGGAGGUCACUAGUUCGAGUCUAGUCAGGCCCACUUUGCUUGGGGAUGUAGCUCAGCUGGGAGAGCGCCUCCCUUGCACGGAGGAGGUCAGGGGUUCAAAUCCCCUCAUCUCCACAAGCAAGUUUGCCCUAAAAAAGUUGUUACCACCGCUUGACAUACCAUAAGGGCUGUGCUAUACUAAGAAAACCAAUUCAUUUAACUGAAGUUAUCGGCCAGAAAGUGCUUUUAGAUGCAACUGAUGACAACCCGUACGGCGGUAACCAAAUAGCGCAGUAACCUACAUAGCUCCGGUCUAUUGUUACCCGGCACUGUGCCGGGUUUUUUUAUGCCUUGUUCGUUGUCGGGUGAGCACGACCCAAAGGUGGUGCUCGCCCCCCAGCCAGCAAGGAGCCUGUUGGCCGGGUAGUACCUUAAAAAACUAAAUAGAACAGACAGUUCAAUGAAUUGCUGGGGUUAUCACGUGUGAUAAGCUACUAAGGGUGCACGGGGGAUGCCUUGGCGUCAAGAGCCGAUGAAGGACGUGGUUGGCUGCGAUAAGCUCUGGAGAGCCGUCAACAGGCGUUAUUAUCCAGAGAUGUCCGAAUGGGGAAACCCGGAAGC
rnacentral:misc_RNA from 1 species